AACGAACGCUGGCGGCAGGCUUAACACAUGCAAGUCGAGCGCGUGGCAACACGAGCGGCAGACGGGUGAGUAACGCGUGGGAACGUACCCUUUACUACGGAAUAACGCAGGGAAACUUGUGCUAAUACCGUAUGUGCCCUUUGGGGGAAAGAUUUAUCGGUAAAGGAUCGGCCCGCGUUGGAUUAGCUAGUUGGUGGGGUAAAGGCCUACCAAGGCGACGAUCCAUAGCUGGUCUGAGAGGAUGAUCAGCCACAUUGGGACUGAGACACGGCCCAAACUCCUACGGGAGGCAGCAGUGGGGAAUAUUGGACAAUGGGCGCAAGCCUGAUCCAGCCAUGCCGCGUGAGUGAUGAAGGCCUUAGGGUUGUAAAGCUCUUUCACCGGGGAAGAUAAUGACGGUACCCGAAGAAGAAGCCCCGGCUAACUUCGUGCCAGCCGCCGCGGUAAAAC
rnacentral:rRNA from 1 species